rnacentral:rRNA from 1 species
CAGCAGCCGCGGUAAUACGUAGGGUGCAAGCGUUACUCGGAAUUACUGGGCGUAAAGCGUGCGUAGGUGGUGGUUUAAGUCCGUUGUGAAAGCCCUGGGCUCAACCUGGGAAUUGCAGUGGAUACUGGGUCACUAGAGUGUGGUAGAGGAUAGUGGAAUUUCCGGUGUAGCAGUGAAAUGCGUAGAGAUCGGAAGGAACAUCUGUGGCGAAGGCGACUAUCUGGGCCAACACUGACACUGAGGCACGAAAGCGUGGGGAGCAAACAGGAUUAGAUACCCGCGUAGUCCCUGUCUCUUAUAC